UAUAUAAAUUAAACACCCUUUUUAUAGUUCUAAUCCAUUUUGGUUGAGUUUAAUUUUGUGUCACUAGUUGUUCCUGUUCAUGGGUUUUGUUUGUUUUUGUUUGUUAUUUUACUGAACUAGCUUAGUUCUAUAGGGUCAGAUUCUGAGUCUGAAGAAUUUGAAUUUCAGAUUCUGAGUCUGAAGAAUUGGAAAAUUUUGAUCUUUGUUAUAUAUAUGUCAUACUUUUGCUUUGUAUUUUUUAUGUGGUUGUUUGGUUGAGGUUGAAGGAGAGCCUUGGAGCAACAAUAAGAUUGUCUCUAUGUAUGUGACAUGUUCAGGUCUGAGGCGUAGAAUCAGCACUUAACCCUCGCAAUUGGAUAGGCUUAGUGUAGGCUGCCUACAUCAUACUUCCGGAGGUACGGCCCUUCCUCAGUUCCCCAUGAAUGCGGGUUUUUGUUUGUUUGGUUGAUUCUGCUUAUUUCCAUUAUGGCUUUCUUCAGGUUACCUGGAAACUGACCUAUAUUAUGUUCUAUGGUCUCAAAUAUUAGUUGUUUUGACAGAUUUGGAUUUGUUUUUAAAGAUUUGACCUUUUAGCAAUAAUGUAAAUAUUAGUUGUUUUGACAGAUUUUGGAUUUGUUUUUAAAGAUUUGACCUUUUAGAAACUAAGGAGUAUUUAUAGGAGUACCUUAUUUUUUUCCAAAUACACCCUUACUACUUCCAUUAGUAGCGUGUUAAUUAAUUGAAACAUUUGAGAACUAUUAAAUAUCUUAAUUAAGGGGUGUACAAAAACCUUAAAAGACAGGUAAUAUGAACUAGAGCUAGUAGUCAAUUAGCCCUGGCAUAUCUCUGGAAGUUGAUGUGAUUGCUUUUUUAUGGGAAAGGAAAUGUGUAUCUAUUGCACUUUGAUACUUAUCAUUUCUUUACCUUUUCAUACAUUUCUAUACUAUUUUAUUUGCUUCUUUCCUCGUGCCGAGGGAUUAUUAGAAACAACCUCUCUAUAUUCACGGUAGGGUAAGGUCUAUGUAUUUACUGUCCUCUCCAGAUCCCACUUGUGGGGUUAUACUGGAUUUGUUAUUGUUGUAUACUAGGAUUACGACGACUGAUGCAUAGACAAGUAAGACUAGCUUUUCUCAUUGGCCUGACUGUAAGAAGGUAGUCGAAGAAGCUUAUAAAACGGAAAUAAUUCAAUUUGUGGGAGGUGGAGCUUAAAUUUACUACGAAUGGUACUGUUUACAGAGAGUAUCAAUUGGCUUCAAUUUAAUGGAAGGUUUUCUCCCAGGAGUUUAAUGAUAAGGGAUGAACUUACUUUAGGUUUUGACUCCACGAGACAAGACAGAUGGUGAUUGUUACGAAUUGUAAUUUCCUGGUAUCAAAUUAGAAUUUGCUCUGCAUCUGUAAGCUGAGACGUGAGAUUGUAACUUCCUGGUAUCAAAUUAGAAUUUGCUCUGCAUCUGUAAGCUGAGACGUGAUAAAAUUUCAUCCAUAUGACACUUGCCAACUUGAAACUCGUUAUGUAGUCAUUAAACUUGUAAUCUGCUUCCAACUUAACGUUGUCGUCAUUAAGUUUCACCAUGUCGAGCCCCAUAAGCAUAAUCCUAUAUGUUAUCACAAGGACAAAAUCUUAUAACCAUCGUCUUUUUGGUCAUUGAAAGCUGAAUGUCUGAGGAGAUUGAAAUGGGAGUAUUUAUCACCAUGUUUUUGUUUCCUGUGAAGCAGUAGCUCUCAAAACUCUACAACCACCCUUACCUUGUUCCGUUAUACUUCGCAA
rnacentral:lncRNA from 1 species